rnacentral:rRNA from 1 species
AUUGAACGCUGGCGGCAGGCCUAACACAUGCAAGUCGAACGAGUGGCGGACGGGUGAGUAAUGUCUGGGAAACUGCCCGAUGGAGGGGGAUAACUACUGGAAACGGUAGCUAAUACCGCAUACCAUCGGAUGUGCCCAGAUGGGAUUAGCUAGUAGGUGGGGUAACGGCUCACCUAGGCGACGAUCCCUAGCUGGUCUGAGAGGAUGACCAGCCACAAGGGACCUAAGAGAGGGUCCAGACUCCAACGGGAGGCAGUAGUGGGGAGUAUUGCACAAUGGGCGCAAGCCUGAUGCAGCAGCGCCGCGUGCGUGAUGACGGCCUUCGGGUUGUAAACGGCUUUCAGCCAUGACGCGGUAGUGGCAGAAGAAGCACCGGCUAACUACGUGCCAGCCGCCGCGGUAAUUC